AUGCAGUCGAACGAUGAAGCCCAGCUUGCUGGGUGGAUUAGUGGCGAACGGGUGAGUAACACGUGGGUGAUCUGCCCUGCACUUCGGGAUAAGCCUGGGAAACUGGGUCUAAUACCGGAUAGGACCUCGGGAUGCAUGUUCCGGGGUGGAAAGGUUUUCCGGUGCAGGAUGGGCCCGCGGCCUAUCAGCUUGUUGGUGGGGUAACGGCCCACCAAGGCGACGACGGGUAGCCGGCCUGAGAGGGCGACCGGCCACACUGGGACUGAGACACGGCCCAGACUCCUACGGGAGGCAGCAGUGGGGAAUAUUGCACAAUGGGCGCAAGCCUGAUGCAGCGACGCCGCGUGAGGGAUGACGGCCUUCGGGUUGUAAACCUCUUUCAGUACCGACGAAGCGCAAGUGACGGUAGGUACAGAAGAAGCAGCGGCGGGGGGGCGUGCCAGCAGCCGCGGUAAUACGUAGGGUGCGAGCGUUGUCCGGAAUUACUGGGCGUAAAGAGCUCGUAGGCGGUUUGUCGCGUCGUCUGUGAAAACCCGCAGCUCAACUGCGGGCUUGCAGGCGAUACGGGCAGACUUGAGUACUGCAGGGGAGACUGGAAUUCCUGGUGUAGCGGUGAAAUGCGCAGAUAUCAGGAGGAACACCGGUGGCGAAGGCGGGUCUCUGGGCAGUAACUGACGCUGAGGAGCGAAAGCGUGGGUAGCGAACAGGAUUAGAUACCCUGGUAGUCCACGCCGUAAACGGUGGGCGCUAGGUGUGGUUUCC
rnacentral:rRNA from 1 species